rnacentral:rRNA from 1 species
UAGUCCACGCAGUAAACGAUAAAUGCUAGAUGUCGGGAAUUUAUUUUUCGGUUUCGAAGUUAACACGUUAAGCAUUUUGCCUGGGGAGUACGGCCGCAAGGCUAAAACUCAAAGGAAUUGACGGGGAUCCGCACAAGCGGUGGAGCAUGCGGUUUAAUUCGAUGCUACGCGAAAAACCUUACCAACCCUUGACAUGGUAGUCGUAGUCAGUAGAGAUAUUGACGUCAGUUCGGCUGGACUACACACAGGUGUUGCAUGGCUGUCGUCAGCUCGUGUCGUGAGAUGUUGGGUUAAGUCCCGCAACGAGCGCAACCCUUGUCUUUAGUUGCCAUCAUUAAGUUGGGCACUUUAAAGAGACUGCCGGUGACAAACCGGAGGAAGGUAAGGAUGACGUCAAGUCAGCAUGCCCCUUAUGCUCUGGGCUACACACGUGCUACAAUGGCCGUGACAAAGAGUUGCUACUUUGUGAAAACAAGCUAAUCUCAUAAACGCGGCCUCAGUUCGGAUUGCAGG